UUUUCUUUUUUGGUUUUCACCUAUUUUUUAAGAGUUAUUUUAAAAAAUAAUUAUAAAAAUAUGUAUAAUAAUUAAAAAUAAAAUUAUAAAUAUAAAAGUUAAUUUUAAAAUAUAUUUAAAAAUAAAAAAUAAGUUAAAAGUAUUUAAGUUUUUAAACAAAUUCUUGUUUUACCAAACAUGAAUAACAAUCUAAAUAUCAUAUAAUAAUUUUUAAAAACUAUUUUUUAAAAUUAUAUUCAAAAAAAGUUAUCAGUACGUACGAUAAUACCAUAUAUAUAUAUAUAUAUAUAUAUAUAUAUAUAUAAUAAAAAUGAAAAGUAAUAAUAAUAAUAAUAAUAAUAAUAAAUAAAUAAAACCCAUUUCAUGAUUCAUGCUCGAAUAAGAAUCCUGUAGAAAUGGAAGCAGGUGCAGAGCCUCAUAGCGAGAAAAGAUGGAGAUGAAAGCAGAGCUGGUCUUCAUCCCCAUCCCUGAGAUUGGCCAUUUCCAAUCCAUGCUUCAGCUCGCCAACCAUCUAGUCAGCCGCCACCACGCCUUCUUUGUCACCUUCCUUACCUUCAACGCCUUUUUUGCCACCGCCCCACCACCACCCGCCGCCUUUACCCUCACCGGAAUCCGCUUCAUCAACCUCCCUCAAGUUGACCUUCCUCAAGUCGACGACGUCUCCGGUGUGGACUACUAUCUUCUCUCUCUCCAGCUCCUGAAACCAGCUCCAGACUCGGCCGAGUCGUAUCCGCCUCGAAGUGGACCGCGACGAGUCCGAUACCAGAUACCUAGACUCGGCCUGAAUCGGUUGGACUCGGAUGAGUCGACCGAUAUUCCGAGUUAACUCGGGCAACUCGGGGAAAAAAUUCAAUGGAUUCUCUGCAAAAAGCCCCACAACAAAUCUUGAUUUUUCAGAGAAAUCAGAGAUUCCUCUACAAAAGAAAACCUACGAAACCUAUGAAAAUAAAAAAAAAACCCGUGAAGAUUUGACAAACCUGUGAGUCCGUGACCCUUUCAAUUUUUCAAAAGCCUUUAAAAAGAGGCUCGGUUGAAGAAAUCCACCAUUGUCGGAGUCUAUAAUCCUCAUCUUUGGUGCGGUGCUUGGUGGAAGGUAGCAAAUCGUGCCACGAGAGGCUGCGUCUUCGUGGUUUGGGGAAGAAGACAGAGGGCUGCAUCAGUGCAUCAGAGCAUCAGCAUCUUCGUGGUGUUGGUGACUGCUGAGUUGGGGAAGAAGAAGAAGAGGGCCUUCGUGGUGUUGCUGUGUAAGGGCUUAGGGCUGUUGCUGUUUUGGGGAAGAAGAAGAAGAUAGAGGCGUGGUGUUGCUGGGGAAGAAGAAGAAACAGAGGGGGUUAGGGCAGCCUGGGCAGGAGGAGGUUUGAGUCGUUUGACCUAGGUAACAAAUUCAUAUAGACUUAUAUUGAAUAAUUUAAUUCAAUCAUAGAAUAGGUUAGAAUUUUAUUACUUGAUUUAAUAGGAUUUAGUCUUGCAAAUCUUAAAUAUUGUUCCUAAUUUAUAUGAUAUAUUAUUCCUUUUCAAUUUAAUAUAUGUAAUCUUUAUAUAUAAUUGAAUAUUGUUGCUAUAUAUAAUUUGUUAUUCAUUUUCAAAUAUUGUUGCCAUAUAUCUUAUAAACUAAAUAAGAUAUAAUUAAUAAUUUUAAAGUAUUUCAUGAAUUUUUUAAUUUUUAAAAAUAAUUUUGAAAUUUAAAAACCAAUCUAAUUAAUUACAUAUAAAAUAAAAUUUUUUAUAAUAUUAUGUUGAUAAUUCAAUUCUAAAUGAGUACAUGGAAUGAAAAUUUUGCUCAUUUUUAAAAAGUUAAACUUUAUUAAUUAUUCAAUUUAAAUAAAAUAUUAUGAAAAAUUAUUAGUUUAAAUAUUUAUUAUUAAUUUUUAACCCAAAAAAUGAUAAAGAUGUUAAUAUUUUUAUGUUUCUAACAUAUGCUAAAAUAGUAUUUUUUUUUAUAAAAAUAAAAUAAAAUUAACCUAUAAUUUUAUUUAAUAUCAUAUAUAUAAUAUGUUAUUCCUUUUCAAAUUAAUAUAUAUAAUCUUUAUAUAUGGUUUAAUAUGUUGCUAUAUAUAAUCUAUUAUUUCUUUUCAAAUACUAAAUAAGAUAUAAUUAAUAGUUUAAAAUUAUUUCAUGAAUUUUUUAAUUUUUAAAAAUAAUUUUGAAAUUAAAAAACCAAUCUAAUUAAUUACAUAUAAAAUAAUUUUUUUUUAUAAUAUUAUGUUGAUAAUUCAAUUCUAAAUGAGUACAUGGAAUGAAAAUUUUGACUCAUUUUUAAAAAGUUAAACUUUAUUAAUUAUUCAAUUUAAAUAAAAUAUUAUGAAAAAUUAUUAGUUUAAAUAUUUAUUAUUAAUUUUUAACCCAAAAAAUGAUAAAGAUGUUAAUAUUUUUAUGUUUCUAACAUAUGCUAAAAUAGUAUUUUUUUUAUAAAAAUAAAAUAAAAUUAACCUAUGAUUUUAUUAUAAUAUCAUAUAUAUAAUAUGUUAUUCCUUUUCAAAUUAAUAUAUAUACUCUCUAUAUAUGGUUUAAUAUUGUUGCUAUAUAUAAUAUAUUAUUUCUUUUCAAAUAUUAUUCCUAUAUGUCUUAUAAACUAAAUAAGACAUAAUUAAUAAUUUUAAAUUGUUUCAUGAAUUUUAAAAUUUUUAAAAAUAUAAUGUACAAGAAAUUGUCUUGAAUACUUUAAAAAUAUCACUCAAUUUUCUAUUAGUAUAAAUAAAUUUAGAUUAUAUUAGUGACAAAAAAUUUCCCUAUUACUCAAUUACAUUAAUACUAUAUCGCAAAAUUAAAUUACUAUACAAAAUUAAUCAUUAUUGAAAUUUUUUUCUUCAAAUAAUCAUAAAUGAUUUAAUAAUACGGAAUGAAGGGUAUGCAUUUACAUGGUCAAUUACAUUGAUUUUAAUUUAAAAAACAUAUAAAUAAGUGGAAAACAAAAGAUGAUGAACUUAGGUGAGAUCAUGUUUAUUGCUUUUUUAGUACAAUUUAUUUUUAUAUGACAACAAUAUGAAACAUAUAAGUGAGUGGAAAAUUGAAUAUUAUAAUUUUUAUAUAAAUGUGUUUAUAUAUAUUCAAUUUGAAAAGUAAAUUGUUUUCCUUUUAUACAUGGUUAGGUUAAAAUUUCAAAAUGGCUUCAAAACAUGAUAUUGGUUGGGAGCAUGCAGAACCUGUUGGUGGUAGUAGAAGAACCACAAAGUGUAAAUAUUGUGGGAAAGUUAUACAUGGCGGUAUAACAAGAUUAAAGCAACACAUCGCACAUAUAUCUGGACAAGUGGAAGGAUGUCCACAUGUACCGGUAGAAGUGUCACAUAGUGUUAGACAACAUAUGUCUAAUACUUCAAAAGAAAAAGCACAGUUAAAGAAAAAAAAAGAACGACUUUUGAAUUCCUUAAAUAGAGAUAAUUUCUAUGAAAUUGAUGAGAGUGAUUCUGAUGAUGAAAUUGAGGAAGUUGCUAUGGCUGAUUUUGAAAGAAGACAAAUGAAACAAGCAAUGAAAGAAAGUCGUCGAAUUUUUGAAGAAGGUGGACAAGAGCAUCAGCAGGGUGGUAGUUCCUCACAACCUUCUAAUGCUAGGAUUAAGCGCGGACUGACACGUAGCUUCAGUGUAAGAGAAGGAGCUAGCAUACCUCCAAAAGGAAUUGAUCCCUACAUGUUCCCAUCAAAGCAGAAAUCAAUAAAAAGCUUGUUUUCUACUGAAGGCGUGAAGAAAGUGGGUAAAGCUAUUUCUAAAUUUUUUCUCUUUAAUGCAAUACCCUUUAAUGCAGCUGACAGUGGGCCUUACUAUCAAUCAAUGAUUGAUACCAUAGCAGAAGCAGGUCCAGGCAUCAAGGGUCCCACGGGAUACCAAAUUGGAAAUACAUAUUUGGAAGAGGAGGUGCAAGAACUUGAGGUAUACAUAACAACAUUGAAGGCUAAAUGGCCUAUAUAUGGGUGCACAAUCAUGUGUGAUGGUUGGAGUUCUAGAACUAGAAAGCCUAUCAUCAAUUUCAUGAUUUAUUGUGAUAGAAGUAUGAUAUACCAUUCUUCAGUUGACACUACCAACAUACCUAAGACAGCAGACUACAUCUUUUCCCUUAUGGAUAAAGUUGUAGAGGAGGUUGGGGAGGAAAAUGUUGUUCAAGUAGUCACUGAUAAUGAGGCAAGUUUUAAAGCAGCCGGCAUGUUGUUGAUGGAGAAGCGAAAGCAUUUGUUUUGGUCUCCUUGUGCAGCCCACUGUAUUGAUUUAAUGCUUGAAGAUAUUGGAAACAUGAAGCAGAUUAAGGAGACAUUAGAUCAGGCUAAGAUGAUCACAGGAUUUAUUUAUAAUAGCUUGAAAGUGGUGAAUUUGAUGAAAGUGUUCACCAAGGAUAGAGAUCUGUUAAGGCCAGGAAUAACCCGUUUUGCCACUGAAUUCAUUUCACUUGAGAGUCUUAUACGUUAUGAGGCUGAUUUGAAGAGAAUGUGUACAACAAAUGAGUGGCGUGAAUUCAAUAAAGAUAGGAGCAGAAAAAGUGUAAGAGAUAAGGUAUCCAACCUUAUCUUAACUGAUCGAUUUUGGAAGAAGGCCGAAAAAGUUCAAACCAUCAUGGAACCUCUCGUCAAAGUAUUGAAAUUGGUUGAUCAAGAUAAAAAGCCCACACUAUCAAUCAUUUAUGAAGCAAUGGAUAGAGCUAAAUUGGCUAUCAAGGCAUCGGUCAAGCAAUGGGAAAAGUAUUGGGAAGUCAUUGAUAGAAGGUGGGAAUGUCAAUUGCACAGACAUUUGCAUGCUGCAGGUAAUAAAAAAACUCUUUAUAUAUUUUUUAUUAAUUUUUUUAAGUACAAAUUAUUAUAAAUUGAUCAUUAUUUAACUUAUGGCAGCAUAUUUUUUAAAUCCAAUGUUCCCAUANNNNNNNNNNNNNNNNNNNNNNNNNNNNNNNNNNNNNNNNNNNNNNNNNNNNNNNNNNNNNNNNNNNNNNNNNNNNNNNNNNNNNNNNNNNNNNNNNNNNAAUUAGUCCUCAAAAGCCCGAAUGAAUAUUUUUUUCACUUUUAAAAAAAGUAUGCUGUUUGAGCAGGCCAAAUUCAGGUUCUCAACUAUGGCCAUGAUGGUUCUUUUCUUCUCCGUCACAACCCCAGUGGGAAUAGUGCUAGGCAUUGGAAUAUCAAGAAUUUACCACGAAAAUGGCCCAACUGCACUCAUAGUUGAAGGGGUAUUUGACGCGGCAUCGGCUGGGAUCUUGAUAUACAUGGCGCUGGUGGAUCUUCUAGCGGCGGACUUCAUGAACCCGAGGCUGCAGAGCAGCCUGAGGCUCCAGUUAGGGGCAAAUAUCUCCCUUCUUUUAGGGACUGGCUGCAUGUCUUUCUUGGCCAAAUGGGCUUGAUGAGUUUUGAUCAAUUUUGAUGUACGUCUAAAUGUAAAUCUACGUCUUUUCUUUCUUGUGUCUGUUUUUGGCUUUAUAUAUAGCAGGACGCAUACAAAAAUAUGCAAGUGAUGGUUCCUAAGCAAACAAAUGGAGCCAAAAGUGAAGUUUUCCCUUGAUUUUUCCUCCCUUUUCUGUCAACAUAAAGCAAUGGAAUCGCAUGAUGAAAAGGCUUUUUUCA
rnacentral:lncRNA from 1 species